rnacentral:rRNA from 1 species
UUAAUGGGGUGACUGCGUACCUUUUGUAUAAUGGGUCAGCGACUUAUAUUCUGUAGCAAGGUUAACCGAAUAGGGGAGCCGAAGGGAAACCGAGUCUUAACUGGGCGUUAAGUUGCAGGGUAUAGACCCGAAACCCGGUGAUCUAGCCAUGGGCAGGUUGAAGGUUGGGUAACACUAACUGGAGGACCGAACCGACUAAUGUUGAAAAAUUAGCGGAUGACUUGUGGCUGGGGGUGAAAGGCCAAUCAAACCGGGAGAUAGCUGGUUCUCCCCGAAAGCUAUUUAGGUAGCGCCUCGUGAAUUCAUCUCCGGGGGUAGAGCACUGUUUCGGCAAGGGGGUCAUCCCGACUUACCAACCCGAUGCAAACUGCGAAUACCGGAGAAUGUUAUCACGGGAGACACACGGCGGGUGCUAACGUCCGUCGUGAAGAGGGAAACAACCCAGACCGCCAGCUAAGGUCCCAAAGUCAUGGUUAAGUGGGAAACGAUGUGGGAAGGCCCAGACAGCCAGGAUGUUGGCUUAGAAGCAGCCAUCAUUUAAAGAAAGCGUAAUAGCUCACUGGUCGAGUCGGCCUGCGCGGAAGAUGUAACGGGGCUAAACCAUGCACCGAAGCUGCGGCAGCAACACUAUGUGUUGUUGGGUAGGGGAGCGUUCUGUAAGCCUGUGAAGGUGGCCUGUGAGGGUUGCUGGAGGUAUCAGAAGUGCGAAUGCUGACAUAAGUAACGAUAAAGCGGGUGAAAAGCCCGCUCGCCGGAAGACCAAGGGUUCCUGUCCAACGUUAAUCGGGGCAGGGUGAGUCGACCCCUAAGGCGAGGCCGAAAGGCGUAGUCGAUGGAAAACAGGUUAAUAUUCCUGUACUUGGUGUUACUGCGAAGGGGGGACGGAGAAGGCUAUGUUGGCCGGGCGACGGUUGUCCCGGUUUAAGCGUGUAGGCUGGUUUUCCAGGCAAAUCCGGAAAAUCAAGGCUGAGGCGUGAUGACGAGGCACUACGGUGCUGAAGCGACAAAUGCCCUGCUUCCAGGAAAAGCCUCUAAGCAUCAGGUAACAUCAAAUCGUACCCCAAACCGACACAGGUGGUCAGGUAGAGAAUACCAAGGCGCUUGAGAGAACUCGGGUGAAGGAACUAGGCAAAAUGGUGCCGUAACUUCGGGAGAAGGCACGCUGAUAUGUAGGUGAAGCGACUUGCUCGUGGAGCUGAAAUCAGUCGAAGAUACCAGCUGGCUGCAACUGUUUAUUAAAAACACAGCACUGUGCAAACACGAAAGUGGACGUAUACGGUGUGACGCCUGCCCGGUGCCGGAAGGUUAAUUGAUGGGGUUAGCGGUAACGCGAAGCUCUUGAUCGAAGCCCCGGUAAACGGCGGCCGUAACUAUAACGGUCCUAAGGUAGCGAAAUUCCUUGUCGGGUAAGUUCCGACCUGCACGAAUGGCGUAAUGAUGGCCAGGCUGUCUCCACCCGAGACUCAGUGAAAUUGAACUCGCUGUGAAGAUGCAGUGUACCCGCGGCAAGACGGAAAGACCCCGUGAACCUUUACUAUAGCUUGACACUGAACAUUGAGCCUUGAUGUGUAGGAUAGGUGGGAGGCUUUGAAGUGUGGACGCCAGUCUGCAUGGAGCCGACCUUGAAAUACCACCCUUUAAUGUUUGAUGUUCUAACGUGGGCCCCUUACCGGGGUUGCGGACAGUGUCUGGUGGGUAGUUUGACUGGGGCGGUCUCCUCCUAAAGAGUAACGGAG